CUGUUCUCCCAAUACUCAGUGAGAAAACAACCACAGGAAAUCUGGGAAUGUGCAGCUAGCCCCGCUUAAUUGAUCUAAGCAGCCAGGGCCGGCAGGGGAGCUUUCACGUACACAGCCUCUAUUCCUGGCUUGCAGGACUGUUUACCUAAGGGGCAAAGAAGUCCACCUGCGAAAGACACCAUGUUGCUACUACAGCCUUAGCAACAGCAGUAGCCCGGUUUUCAUUGUUGUUGUUUACAGUCAUGAGAGCCAUACUCCUUUAAGAAAACACCAAACUCCUUUCCCUCAUUCCUGGCCCCAAUCAGUAAUCACCAAGACUGUCAGCUGCCUGCAGUUAUCGGGAAGAGCAGCCUGGGGAAAGUUAAAGGAGCACAGAUGGACAGUUGCUUUCUGCAUGCAAGUGGCCAGCUAGGAUCCGGGGGGCAUCAAGCCAUGAUUUUUAUUUCUGUGCUGGAUGCAUUAGCAGCUGUGACUUGGAAGGUUUUAUCCUGAAGGAGUGGAAUUGCUGCAGACGUCUUUGGGUUUUGGCGAGCAGUAGAUAUUUGGGGACGUUGUGCUGUUAUUGCAGAGCCCCACAAUGAAGAUCCAGGAGCAUCCCAGCCUAUCUGACACCAAACAGCAGAGAAAUCAAGAUGCCGGUGACCAGGAGGAGAGCUUUGUCUCCGAAGUGCCCCAGUUGGACCUGACUGCAUUGUGUGAUGAAAAGAACUGGGAAGAGCCUAUCCCUGCUUUCUCCUCCUGGCAGCGGGAGAACAGUGACUCUGAUGAAGCCCACCUCUCGCCGCAGGCUGGGCGCCUGAUCCGUCAGCUGCUGGACGAAGACAGCGACCCCAUGCUCUCUCCUCGGUUCUACGCUUACGGGCAGAGCAGGCAAUACCUGGAUGACACAGAAGUGCCUCCUUCCCCACCAAACUCCCAUUCUUUCAUGAGGCGGCGAAGCUCCUCUCUGGGGUCCUAUGAUGAUGAGCAAGAGGACCUGACACCUGCCCAGCUCACACGAAGGAUUCAGAGCCUUAAAAAGAAGAUCCGGAAGUUUGAAGAUAGAUUCGAAGAAGAGAAGAAGUACAGACCUUCCCACAGUGACAAAGCAGCCAAUCCAGAGGUUCUGAAAUGGACAAAUGACCUUGCCAAAUUCCGGAGACAACUUAAAGAAUCAAAACUAAAGAUAUCUGAAGAGGACCUAACUCCCAGGAUGCGGCAGCGAAGCAACACACUCCCCAAGAGUUUUGGUUCCCAACUUGAGAAAGAAGAUGAGAAGAAGCAAGAGCUGGUGGAUAAAGCAAUAAAGCCCAGUGUUGAAGCCACAUUGGAAUCUAUUCAGAGGAAGCUCCAGGAGAAGCGAGCGGAAAGCAGCCGCCCUGAGGACAUUAAGGAUAUGACCAAAGACCAGAUUGCUAAUGAGAAAGUGGCUCUGCAGAAAGCUCUGUUAUAUUAUGAAAGCAUUCAUGGACGGCCGGUAACAAAGAACGAACGGCAGGUGAUGAAGCCACUAUACGACAGGUACCGACUGGUCAAACAGAUCCUCUCCCGAGCUAACACCAUACCCAUCAUUGAAGAAGAGGAGGGGUCAGAAGACGAUAGCAAUGUGAAGCCAGACUUCAUGGUCACUCUGAAAACCGAUUUCAGUGCACGAUGCUUUCUGGACCAAUUCGAAGAUGACGCUGAUGGAUUUAUUUCCCCAAUGGAUGAUAAAAUACCAUCAAAAUGCAGCCAGGACACAGGGCUUUCAAAUCUCCAUGCUGCCUCAAUACCUGAACUCCUGGAACACCUCCAGGAAAUGAGAGAAGAAAAGAAAAGGAUUCGAAAGAAACUUCGGGAUUUUGAAGACAACUUUUUCAGACAGAAUGGAAGAAAUGUCCAGAAGGAAGACCGCACUCCUAUGGCUGAAGAAUACAGUGAAUAUAAGCACAUAAAGGCGAAACUGAGGCUCCUGGAGGUGCUCAUCAGCAAGAGAGACACUGAUUCCAAGUCCAUGUGAGGGGCAUGGCCAAGCACAGGGGGCUGGCAGCUGCGGUGAGAGUUUACUGUCCCCAGAGAAAGUGCAGCUCUGGAAGGCAGCCUUGGGGCUGGCCCUGCAAAGCAUGAGCCCUUCUGCCUCUAGACCAUUUGGCAUCGGCUCCUGUUUCCAUUGCCUGCCUUAGAAACUGGCUGGAAGAAGACAAUGUGACCUGACUUAGGCAUUCUGUAAUUGGAAAGUCAAGAUUGCAGUAUGUGCACAUGCGCACGCGCGUGCACGCACACACACACACACAGUAGUGGAGCUUUCCUAACACUAGCAGAGAUUAAUCACUACAUUAGACAACACUCAUCUACAGAGAAUAUACACUGUUCUUCCCUGGAUAACUGAGAAACAGGAGACCAUUCUCUGUCUAACUGUGAUAAAAACAAGCUCAGGACUUUAUUCUAUAGAGCAAACUUGCUGUGGAGGGCCAUGCUCUCCUUGGACCCAGUUAACUGCAAACGUGCAUUGGAGCCCUAUUUGCUGCCGCUGCCAUUCUAGUGACCUUUCCACAGAGCUGCGCCUUCCUCACGUGUGUGAAAGGUUUUCCCCUUCAGCCCUCAGGUAGAUGGAAGCUGCAUCUGCCCACGAUGGCAGUGCAGUCAUCAUCUUCAGGAUGUUUCUUCGGGACUUCCUCAGCUGACAAGGAAUUUUGGUCCCUGCCUAGGACCGGGUCAUCUGCAGAGGACAGAGAGAUGGUAAGCAGCUGUAUGAAUGCUGAUUUUAAAACCAGGUCAUGGGAGAAGAGCCUGGAGAUUCUUUCCUGAACACUGACUGCACUUACCAGUCUGAUUUUAUCGUCAAACACCAAGCCAGGCCAGCAUGCUCAUGGCAAUCUGUUUGGGGCUGUUUUGUUGUGGCACUAGCCAAACAUAAAGGGGCUUAAGUCAGCCUGCAUACAGAGGAUCGGGGAGAGAAGGGGCCUGUGUUCUCAGCCUCCUGAGUACUUACCAGAGUUAAAUUUUUUUAAAAAAAAUCUGCACUAAAAUCCCCAAACUGACAGGUAAAUGUAGCCCUCAGAGCUCAGCCCAAGGCAGAAUCUAAAUCACACUAUUUUCGAGAUCAUGUAUAAAAAGAAAAAAAAGAAGUCAUGCUGUGUGGCCAAUUAUAAUUUUUUUCAAAGACUUUGUCACAAAACUGUCUAUAUUAGACAUUUUGGAGGGACCAGGAAAGGUAAGACACCAAAUCCUCCAUCUCUUCAGUGUGCCUGAUGUCACCUCAUGAUUUGCUGUUACUUUUUUAACUCCUGCGCCAAGGACAGUGGGUUCUGGGUCCACCUUUGUGCUUUGCGAGGCCGAGCCCAGGCAUCUGCUCACCUGCCAUGGCUGACCAGAGAAGGUGCUUCAGGAGCUCUGCCUUAGACGACGUGUUACAGUAUGAACACACAGCAGAGGCACCGUCGUAUGUUUUGAAAGUUGCCUUCUGAAAGGGCACAGUUUUAAGG
rnacentral:sRNA from 1 species